ensembl:misc_RNA Metazoa_SRP Metazoan signal recognition particle RNA
GCCGGGUGUGGUGGUGCAUGCCUGUAAUCCCAGCUACUCGGGAGGCUGAGGCAGGGGAAUUGCUUGAACCCAGGAGACGGAGGUUGCAGUGAGCCGAGAUCGCACCACUGCACUCCAGGCUGGGUAACAGAGCAAGACUCUGUCUCAA